AUUGAACGCUGGCGGCAUGCUUUACACAUGCAAGUCGAACGGUAACAGGCCUUCGGAUGCCGACGAGUGGCGAACGGGUGAGUAAUGUAUCGGAACGUGCCCAGUAGUGGGGGAUAACUACUCGAAAGAGUGGCUAAUACCGCAUGAGAACUGAGGUUGAAAGCGGGGGACCUUCGGGCCUCGCGCUACUGGAGCGGCCGAUAUCAGAUUAGGUAGUUGGUGGGGUAAAGGCCUACCAAGCCGACGAUCUGUAGCUGGUCUGAGAGGACGACCAGCCACACUGGGACUGAGACACGGCCCAGACUCCUACGGGAGGCAGCAGUGGGGAAUUUUGGACAAUGGACGCAAGUCUGAUCCAGCAAUGCCGCGUGCAGGACGAAGGCCUUCGGUUGUAGACUGCUUUUGUACAGAACGAAAGGGACUCUGGUUAAUAACCUGGGGUCGAGAUGACGGUACUGUAAGAAUAAGCACCGG
rnacentral:rRNA from 1 species